rnacentral:rRNA from 1 species
UACGAACUGUGCAAACGUUAUUCGGAAUCACUGGGCUUAAAGGGUGCGUAGGCGGCUGUCUAAGCUGGGUGUGAAAGCCCCCGGCUCAACCGGGGAAUUGCGUUCUGAACUGGACGGCUGGAGUGGGAUAGAGGUGUGCGGAACUUCCGGUGGAGCGGUGAAAUGUGUUGAUAUCGGAAGGAACGCCGGUGGCGAAAGCGGCACACUGGGUCUCAACUGACGCUGAGGCACGAAAGCCAGGGGAGCGAACGGG